UACGAGGGGGGCAAGCGUUGUUCGGAAUUAUUGGGCGUAAAGGGCGCGUAGGCGGUUUGGCAAGUUUGGUGUGAAAUCUUCGGGCUCAACUCGAAGUCUGCACCGAAAACUGCCGGGCUUGAGUAUGGGAGAGGUGAGUGGAAUUUCCGGUGUAGCGGUGAAAUGCGUAGAUAUCGGAAGGAACACCUGUGGCGAAAGCGGCUCACUGGACCAUUACUGACGCUGAGGCGCGAAAGCUAGGGGAG
rnacentral:rRNA from 1 species